AUUGAACGCUGGCGGCAUGCCUUACACAUGCAAGUCGAACGGCAGCACGGGUGCUUGCACCUGGUGGCGAGUGGCGAACGGGUGAGUAAUACAUCGGAACAUGUCCUGUAGUGGGGAAUAGCCCGGCGAAAGCCGGAUUAAUACCGCAUACGAUCUACGGAUGAAAGCGGGGGACCUUCGGGCCUCGCGCUAUAGGGUUGGCCGAUGGCUGAUUAGCUAGUUGGUGGGGUAAAGGCCUACCAAGGCGACGAUCAGUAGCUGGUCUGAGAGGACGACCAGCCACACUGGGACUGAGACACGGCCCAGACUCCUACGGGAGGCAGCAGUGGGGAAUUUUGGACAAUGGGCGAAAGCCUGAUCCAGCAAUGCCGCGUGUGUGAAGAAGGCCUUCGGGUUGUAAAGCACUUUUGUCCGGAAAGAAAUCCUUGGCCCUAAUACGGUCGGGGGAUGACGGUACCGGAAGAAUAAGCGCCGGCUAACUACGUG
rnacentral:rRNA from 1 species